AAAGAUUAAGCCAUGCAUGUAUAAGUAUAACCUGCCAGACAGGGAAACUGCGUACGGCUCAUUACACCAGCUGUAAUUUACUUGACCUUGACAACCUACUUGGAUAACUGUGGUAAUUCUAGAGCUAAUACAUGCACCAAAGCUCCGAUCCUCGCGGAGAGGAGCGCAUUUGUUCGCCACAAAACCAAGCGCCUUCACAGGCGUUCGGUGUUGAUUCAGAACAACUCAGCUGAUCGCACGGUCUUGCACCGGCGACGUGUCUUUCAAGUGUCUGCCUUAUCAACUUUCGAUGGUAGUGUACCUGACUACCAUGGUGAUGACGGGUAACGGAGGAUAAGGGUUCGACUCCGGAGAAGGGGCCUGAGAAAUGGCCACUACGUCUAAGGAUGGCAGCAGGCGCGCAAAUUACCCACUCUCAACAUGAGGAGGUAGUGACGAGAAAUAACGAGACUGUUCUCACAUGAGGCCAGUUAUUGGAAUGGGUACAAUUUAAACCCUUUAACGAGUAUCUAUGAGAGGGCAAGUCUGGUGCCAGCAGCCGCGGUAAUUCCAGCUCUCAUACUGCAUUGAAUUGUUGUUGCGGUUAAAAAGCUCGUAGUUGGAUCUGUACAUGAUAGGUUAGUUCAUCCUUUGGAUUGUAACUAAUACUAAAUGUUUUUUAUUAGAUUUUUUUUAUUCCUUACGGGAUAAAAAUGUCUAGUGAGUUUACUUUGAAUAAAUCAGAGUGCUCAAAGCAGGCGUAAGCCUGUAUGGUUUUGCAUGGAAUAAUAGAACAUGACUAUGGUUUAUGUUUUAUUGGUUUUACUUACCAUUGUAAUGAUUAAAAGGAACAAACGGGGGCAUCCGUAUCGCAGGGCGAGAGGUGAAAUUCGUGGACCCUUGCGAGACGAACUACAGCGAAAGCAUUUGCCAAGAAUG
rnacentral:rRNA from 1 species